ensembl:misc_RNA Metazoa_SRP Metazoan signal recognition particle RNA
GCCAGGCAUGGUGACACGUACCUGUAGUUCCGGUUUCUCAGGAGGCUGAGGCAGGAGGAUUGCUUGAGCCCAGAGGUUCUGGGCUAUAGUGCACUAUGCUUGUCGGGUUUCUUCACCAAGUUUGGCAUCAGUAUUGUGACCUCCUGGAACAGGAGACUACCAGCUUGCCUAAGGAGGGGUGAACUGGCCUAGGUUGGAAACAGGAGGUUCAAACUCCUAUGCUGAUCAGUGGUGAAUUGUGCCUACGAAUAGCCAUUGCACUCCAGGCUUAGCAACCUAGCAAGACUCAAUCUCUU